rnacentral:rRNA from 1 species
UACGUAGGGUGCAAGCGUUGUCCGGAAUUAUUGGGCGUAAAGAGCUCGUAGGCGGUUUGUUGCGUCGGCUGUGAAAUCCCGAGGCUCAACCUCGGGUCUGCAGUCGAUACGAGCAGACUAGAGUGUUGCAGGGGAGACUGGAAUUCCUGGUGUAGCGGUGAAAUGCGCAGAUAUCAGGAGGAACACCGGUGGCGAAGGCGGGUCUCUGGGCAGCAACUGACGCUGAGGAGCGAAAGCGUGGGGAGCGAACAGG